UUCUAGGAAGUUCCGGUUCAUAGUAAUUCUAGGUUUUGUAUGUAUAGGGUUCUCUUAGCAUAUGUACUUUGCGAGGUAUUGUCGACUCAUGUUGUGUACUGAGUGGUUUUUCCAAACCUUUUUCUGCCUGCCCUUUUGUUAUGACCCUUUUUUCUGUAUUACGGAUUUUGCCUUUUGUCUUUGCCCUUAUCGGAUUUGUCGUAAUAUCGGACUGUCUCUCUGGCUUCGGAUCUUGGACCGUUUUCACUACUACGUCUCCUGUUUACACUACACCGAAAGAAGAUCCGUGGAGUCGCCUAAGUGAGACACCCACUUUCUCCAGCAAAAGGCGAAGUGUCUAUAGUGAUGAUAACCCGAUAGACAGCCUGGACCUAAAACUAACGUCUGUCUACGAUCAAAGUAAAGACUUUCUGUCCAGCAAGAAUAAGGUUGUGCUUCAGAGCGAGACUCUGGGGAUAAAGCCUGAAGAAUUGCAGGAACCAGAAGCCUUGCAGGAGGAGCCUUGCAGACUUCCAAGAUGCACCAGUUAUGAGACUCCUCACACUAUACAGUCUGCACAUGGCUACAGCAGAAAACAUGACGGAGGCUUUUAUUCUUAUGUUAGCCCGGAAAAAUAGAUAUGGUAUAAUCUGCUGCCUCUCCCCCUCUCCUCUGUCUGCUGCCUUUAUUCUUCUGUCUUAAACUAAUACAUUUGUCAGUACCCCACCCCCCAAAAUAUGGUAUCACUGGAAAGCUCAGGAUGCUCCUCUUUAAGAUACAGCAGGAAUUAUUAGUGUAACUCAAACAAGUUAAAUGUGAGAUGCAGAAACAUAAUGUCCACUACGGAGGACACAAAUAAAUAAGCCAGGAGGGUAUGUGUAUAUUAUAUACAACUUGAGAGUACAGUACUGCUGGACUCAACAGGUAGAUGAUCUGUACUGAUUGAUGGUUAAUUGAUGAUUUGGGUGGGGAAGGGGGUGAUGCACGGACUUAUUUUAAGACAAUAAUAUUAAUAAUUAUUGUAAUAGUAAAUGUUCUUUUUGUAUGUGAUAUUGUAACUGUGAAUAUUUCUCAAAUAAAGGCUUUUUUCCCAAAAAAAAAAAAAAA